AUGAAUGAUAAUUGUAUUUAAAUUGACAAUAUUUACAUAUAACAAAAUAAAGCUAAAACAAAACACUUUUCAUCACAAAUAUGCAACAUUGAAAAAAUAACAGGGAACUUAAACUCCAUCGUGCAUAUGCCACCUUCAUCGUGCAUACACCUUGCUUUAUACUUCAUAAGGCUUGUCUCAUGUGUGUGUUCUUUUAUGUGUCCUUAAUAAAUGGCCCAUAUGAGAAAAUCUCUUUUUACAAACAUCACAUUCAUAAGACUUGUCUCCAGUGUGUUCUUUUAUGUGACCUUAAACUAUCCAGGCGAGCAAAUCUUUUGGUGUAAACGUCACAUUCAUAACGUUUGUAUCCAAUUGUGUUUUUUAUGUCUAGCUAAUUUACAUGGAAUUGAAAAUUGCUUGUUGCAAACAUUGCAUUCAUAAGGUUUGUCUCCAGUAUGUGUUCUUUCAUGUAUCACUAAAUUAUAUGGAGCUGAAAAUCUCUUCUUGCAAACAUCGCAUUCAUAAGGUUUGUCUCCACUAUGUGUUCUUCUAUGUGUCCUUAAAUUGCCCAUUUGAGAAAAUCCCUUGUUGCAAACAUCACAUUCAUAUUAAGGUGUGUCUCCAGUAUGUGUUGUUCUAUGUGUCCUCAAAGUAUACAAUCAAGCAAAUCUUUUGUUGCAAAUAUCACAUUCGUAACGUUUGUCUCCAUUGUGUGUGUUUUUUAUGUGCCCUUAAAUUAUACAUUUGAGUGAAUCUCUUGUUGCAAACAUCACAUUCAUAAGGUUUGUCUCCAGUGUGUGUACUUUCAUGUCUCACUAAAUUAUUUGGAUCUGAAAAUCUCUUGUUGCAAACAUCACAUUCAUAUUAAGGUUUGUCUCCAGACAUGUGUCUCCUUUUAUGUGUCCCCUUAAAUUAUGCAUUUGAGUAAAUCUCUUGUUGCAAAUAUCACAUUCAUAAGGUUUGUCUCCAGUAUGUGUUCUUCUAUGUUGCCUCAAAGUAAACAUUCGAGCAAAUCUUUUGUUGCAAAUAUCACAUUCGUAACGUUUGUCUCCAGUGUGUGUUCUUGCAUGUGUCCUCAAAGUAUAGAAUCGAGCAAAUGUUUUGUUGCAAACAUCACAUUCAUAAGGUUUGUCUCCAGUGUGUGUAUUUUCAUGUCUCGCUAAAUUACUUGGAUAUGAAAAUCUCUUGUUGCAAACAUCACAUUCAUAAGGUUUGUCUCCAGACGUAUGUGUCCUUUUAUGUGUCCUUCUAUGUGUCCUUAAAGUAUGCAUUUGAGUAAAUCUCUUGUUGCAAAUAUCACAUUCAUAAGGUUUGUCUCCAGUAUGUGUUCUUUCAUGUCUCACUAAAGUACUUGUAUCUGAAAAUCUCUUGUUGCAAACAGCACAUUGAUAAGGCUUGUCUCCAGACGUAUGUGUCCUUUCAUGUGUCCUUAAAUUAUGCAUUUGAGUAAAUCUCUUAUUGCAA